GCCAAAAUCAUAAAUGUAUUAUCUAUAGCCAAAAUUUAAACGCAAAAAUUGCACUCCUAAAUUUUUUUAAUGUAAAUUGUUCUAAGUAGAUAAGAUUACUAAAUCAUUUUGAAUACAACUUACAUAAUAAUUGCAUUACUUAAUUAUACAUGGAGUGGUUGAAUGUUGACGUGCAAAUAGUAACGAUUUUAUUAAGUGCAAAUUUUUGUUGAUAAUGGCUGCACAUCGCGUAUCUGUUGCAGCGUCGCUAAGAGGUGCUGAUAAAUCUUCAAUAGAAUAUGAUGAUGGGGAUGAAGUAAUGGAGCAAUCCGGAGAGCGGAGUAUGAUGACUCGAGACUUCAAUAUUGGCAGAGUUGAAGAAUCAUACUGCUUGAUGCUAAGAAUUUUCGCAUAGACAGAUUGUAUCAAAGCUUUCACAUAUUGCUUUGUCUGUGCUAUAUGACCAGUCAUCAUUUUAAUGCAACCCUCUAUCUUUUCAUUCCAUGAGGACAAAGGAGGCAAAGCUUUCUCUAAAAUUGAUGGAUCAUUAGCGCUAACUCCAUGGCAAUUAAAAUACCGAUAUCGGAUGCGAGCAAGUAAAAACUUUUUCUGACACCAAUUUGCUCUGUUAUCAACUGAAAGGAAUAGAGAGUACCUAUUUAGUACAAAUAGAAAUAUUACUAAAAUGUUUCGAAUGUUUAAAAAAAAACCAUGCAAUAAAUAAUAUGGUCUUGUGCCCUAUA